UGCGGAAAACAUGUGCCCGGCAGUGACGUCCGUAUUGGUUUGCCCCAGUUCUGACUGAGAAUCGUGACAUUUUGUUUGUCUGCUAUUGGAGAUCAACCAUCAAGAAUCCCUUCAGGAAAAGUAGGACCGAUUUGGCGCAAAUCCGCUGCUGACCAGAGGUACAGACAAGACAACAAUAUCAGCAUGGAUAUAAACUAUGCUGAAGAACAGGAAAAUGAGCUGGAAGCACUCCAGUCAAUAUAUCCAGAUGAACUAGAAGUGGUGGGGCCUGGCCAGUACCAGAUCGCCGUCAAGAGCAUGGACGACGACCUGGAUCCGGCGGCAGGCUGCCGCUGGCCUGCUGGCCAUC